ensembl:lncRNA
CUGCCGAAGUCACAGACACAUCAUCUUCAGCAACUUCUCCAAGUUCAAGUCCCACGACUGUCUCGUCAUCCACAUCCGAAGGGACAAGCACUACUGCAGUAGUCACAGACACAUCAUCUUCAGCAACUUCUCCAAGUUCAAGUCCCACGACUGUGUCGUCAUCCACAUCAGAAGGGACAAGCACAACUGCAGAAGUCACAGACACAACAACUUCAGCAAUUUCUCCAAGUUCAAGUUCCACGACUGUGUCGUCAUCCACUUCUGAAGGGACAAGCACAACUGCUGAAGUCACAGACACAUCAUCUUCAGCAACUUCUCCAAGUUCAAGUCCCACGACCAUCUCGUUAUCAACAUCUGAAGGGACUAGCACAACUGCUGAAGUCACAGCAACAUCAUCUUCAGCAACUUCUCCAAGUUCAAGUCCCACGACUGUCUCGUCAUCCACUUCUCAAGGGACAAGCACAACUGCUGAAGUCACAGCCACAUCAUCUUCAGCAACUUCUCCAAGUUCAAGUCCCACGACUGUGUCGUCAUCCACAUCAGAAGGGACAAGCACAACUGCAGAAGUCACAGACACAUCAUCUUCAGCUACUUCAAGUCCCACGACUGUGUCGUCAUCCACUUCUGAAGGGACAAGCACAACUGCUGAAGUCACAGCCACAUCAUCUUCAGCAACUUCUCCAAGUUCAAGUCCCACGACUGUGUCAACAUCCACAUCUGAAGGGUCAAGCACAACUGAUCAAGUCACCAACCCAACAGCUCCAGCAACUGCUCCAAUUUUAAACCCCACGAAUGUCUUCACGUCCACAUCCGAAGCGACAAGCACAACUGCUCAAGUCACAGACACAGCAUCUUCAGCAACUUCUCCAAGUUCAAAACCCACAACUGUCUUGACAUCCACAUCCGAAGGGACCAGCUCAACUUCUAAAGUCACAGACACAUCAUCUUCAACAACUUAUCCAAGUUCAAGUCACACGACUGUCUCGACAUCCACAUCUGAAGGGACAAGCACAACUGCUGAAAUAACAGACCCAACAGCUUUAGAAACUUCGCCAAGUUCAAAACCCACAACUGUCUCGUCAUCCACAUCCGAAGGGACAAGCUCAACUGCUCAAGUCACAGACACAUCAUCUUCAGCAACUUCUCCAAGUUCAAAUCGCACGACUGUCUCGACAUCCACAUCCGA